UACGUAGGGGGCAAGCGUUGUCCGGAUUCAUUGGGCGUAAAGAGCGUGUAGGCGGCCAGGUAGGUCGGUUGUGAAAACUGGAGGCUCAACCUUCAGAGGUCGACCGAAACCAUCUGGCUAGAGUCCGGGAGAGGAGAGUGGAAUUCCUGGUGUAGCGGUGAAACGCGCAGAUAUUGGGAGGAACACCAGUGGCGAAGGCGGCUACCUGGACCGGUUCUGACGCUGAUGCGCGAAAGCGUGGGUAGCAAACAGG
rnacentral:rRNA from 1 species